UGCAGUUGGGGCCAUCGCAGCG
rnacentral:misc_RNA from 1 species